UUUGUUUAUACAACAUAGAAUAAUAUAUAUCUUUGUUUAAUCCAUGUCAAUAUAUAUUUUAUUUUUUAUAUUAUUUGAAUAAAACAUUGAAAAACAUGAACAUCUAAAAACAUAAAAAAUAAAAUCAAUGUUUAAAGUAUAAAAUAAAAACCCUGGCAAUAAC
rnacentral:misc_RNA from 1 species